UCCAAUGUUUAUCCUUAUGAAUCAAAAUCAUAAGGUAGUCUUAUGGAGCAGCAUGUGAUUUCAAGUGUUCAUCCACGGGAAAAUAUUAUUGUCAAUUGUCAUUAAUUUUCAUUCCCGACUGAUCAUAUUUUAUUCAAAUAAUUUAGCUAAUCAGCAACGUCUUAAAUCGAAUUUCUGGUAUCGGAUACAGCUACAUACAGUCAGUAAACCCGAUCCCAAGGUUGUUCUCCCAUAUGAGAAAAUCGAUUGUACCGGUCUCAAGAUAUUAGGAGUUCGAUUCCGGAAUCUCGGCCCGAAUGCUCAAUGGAAGCAGUCCUGGAACAUGUGUUUGUUGAUCUGCUGCUGGUGUUUCAAUGACAGAUGGCUAACACUAGAUUCUUCUGGCGGCUAUUCCUAGAACGACAUGGAUCCUGAAAUGCGAAAGACUCCCAGCAAAAGACCAUCGUUAAACUUUUUGCCUUGUCAUUCAUCAUAAAUUGCACAGCAAGCGGAAAAAAAAAUCAUCCAAUGAUUCACUCCGAACGACUGUAAUAUGUAUUGCCUGCAGCAACUGUUGAUCAACGUCGACAAAUUUAGCAUCAGCGUAAUAUGUAUGUAGUGGAAAGGAAAUCAAGCAAUCGGAAACCUAUGAAGAAAUAUAUAAAUUCGGAUUUGAAGAAUUCUGCGUGGUGAAGGAGUCACGGAAGAAAGUAUAGAGCUUUACGAGUUCUUCUGAUAUGAAUUAUGUUUUGCUACUAUCCACCCGGAAGAAGUAAAGCAAAUAUAUCGUUGAGGCAACGGCAAAAGAAAGGUUGCUGGAGAAGUGUAAGUCCUGGAAUUUGGCCCUCAUGAAACCAGAUCCUAGUUUGCGUUCGCUGGAAGCAGUGAAUGACGCAUUGUUGAACAGUGAGGAUGAUGACGAUGUUAUUACUGUCGAUUUGGGAUCGCCGGAAAUAAGAAGGAGAAGGUGGAUGAAAAGACAAGCUCCAAUGUAUUUGACAACCAAUCUCUAUGAUGCACAACAUCGUUUUGCUUUUUUGGUGAAAGUGGUAAGAAAGCAUGAGGGCAUGCCUGUCCUGGAGAGUGCUGUCCGACUGGUGAAAAUUGUAGCUGCUUUGCUCUAUUGUGACCAACUUGAAAGUCAAGCUCAAGACAAUAGUGUGGUAAGUUUGUGCAUUUGUUAUUCAGGGUUUAACUAGAUACACAUUUUAAAUGAUUCACUGUAGUGUAUACAAUCCGUCUAGCAUAUUUUUCGGAUGGGAAACAAUCUUGGCUCCCUGGGCACACUGGUCACACAACCAUAAUUGAUUGAUUAAUAAAAUGCCUGGCUGUAUCUCAAUCAGGUCUCGGUCCAUUCCAUUUGAAAGCGGAGUGGGUGGAGGUAUAGCUGGCGUUUUCUUUGGUGGUAGAGCUUCCCAGAACUCAAUCUGUCCAGCCAUCAACCUGCGGCUGGGUAUGUUUGUCCAGCAGAUCCAAAUGCCUGUCCAAGCGGGAUAUUCAAAUCAUCAGAUCCUCAAUCAAUCAUUAGCACAACAUAUCCUUUUUUGGUCCAGAUGCUGAAUAACAUUGAGGUGAGUAUUAAGUAUGACUACAUUUGCUGUUCACUUGGUUAUGCAUUUUCUAAUUUUAGCAACUACAUGUCACGCAGAAUAAUUUACAACGAGCUGAUUGAUUUUCCAAUAAUCAAAUGUCGUUGAUUCCAAUAAUAAAGCAACAAAUGGAUUACAGAUGGAUUACAGAAACAAUCACCUACAAAAAGUAAUCUUGAACAAGCAUUCUGGAAACAUCAACCACCUGGCAAAUAGCUUCCAUCGUGAACUGAAUGAUCUAACUGUCGUGACCGGGUAUCCUCGUCCCGCAGUUCAUCGUCGUGAAUAACAUCACCAGCGAUGGCUCGACACUCCGACCAGCAGAGACCUUUGUCACCAAUUGGCUCGAUGUCGGUGCGGAGAACUUGUCCAGGAUUCAAGACUCACAAUUCUCCACCAGUGAUGACUCGACGCUCCAGAAUGUUUGUUCAAUUCUACUUUUUGUGGUUUCUGCAAUUCACCAAUUGGUUGCUUUAUUAACGGAAUCAUCGAUAUUUUAUUACAUAUUUUAAGAACAAUCAGCUUAUUGUAAAAUAAUCUGCGUAACUUUUAGUGGUUAAAAUUCGGAAACGGAGAACUAAGUAAAAAAUUGAACAAGAUUGAACAAGAAAAGGAUCGGCGGUGCUAAUAAUUGAAUGAGUAUUUGAUGAUUCAAAUAUCCCGCUUGGACAUGCAUUUGGAUCUACUGGACAAUCAUACGCAGCAGCAGGUUUGAUGGCUGUGCAGAUGGAGUUCUGGGCCACAACCAUCAAAAACGCCAGCUAUACCUCCACCCACUCCGCUUUCAAAUUCAAUGGACCGGGACCUGAUUGAGAUAGCUUUGCAAUGGUUUAUUAAGAGAAUUUAUGCAGCCAGGUAUGUUGUUGUUUAAUCCAUUCUGGUUCUGUGUAAAAGCAAUUUAGAAUCAAUGGUUGCAUCUAUAUUGUAAAGAUUUUAUUCAUUAUUUUAUUGAUGUAGUUGAUGUUGUUGACUUUGAAUUUAAGACUUAAGUUGUUUUAUACGAGGUUGAAUUAACUGCGAAAGACCGAAGAUGGCCAUGC